GUGCACAAUUCAGCAGCACGUACACUAAAAUUGGGAUGAUACAGAGAUUAACAUGGCCUCUGUGCAAGGAUGACAUGCAAAUUCAUGAAGCUUUCCAUAUUUGG